rnacentral:lncRNA from 1 species
GUUUCAGAAAAAGGGAGAAGGUUUGGAUCCAUUAAAACGUUUAAUCCCGCUGCAAAUGUUUGCACCUGUCCUAAGUCAGGAAUCUAUUGUACAGUAGUUGUCGUUUGUUUAUGUAAUUUAUACGUGUUUCUCGUUUCUCGUUUUUUUUAAUUUUAUAUAGAUUAGACCGUUGGUUUUCCCGUUUGAAUGGUUUUAUACUAGUAAUUUUGGGGCCCUUUAUAGCUUGUUGUUCGG